AAUCCUCUGUCGAAGAGCGUAGGCUCGAAACGUCAAAGACUUUUCCAUUCUUCCUGAGCGUCAAACUAAUACACCUGCUUGUUGUUCCCUCACCUGUCAUCGUCUUUUGUUCUCUGUAAAUUUGAAGUACGGAUGUAUAUAUAUAUAUCUAUAUAAAU